CCUACGGGAGGCAGCAGUAGGGAAUAUUGGGCAAUGGACGGAAGUCUGACCCAGCCAUACCGCGUGGAGGAAGAAGGUCCUAUGGAUUGUAAACUCCUUUUCUCUGGGGCGAAAAUACUCUUUCGAGAGGGAUUGACAGUACUAGAGGAAUAAGCCACGGCUAACUACGUGCCAGCAGCCGCGGUAAUACGUAGGUGGCGAGCGUUAUCCGGAUUUACUGGGUUUAAAGGGUGCGUAGGCGGGUUGAUAAGUCAGAGGUGAAAGCUGGCCGCUUAACGGUCAAAAUGCCUUUGAUACUGUCAGUCUUGAGUAUAGUUGAGGUCGCUGGAAUAUUUGGUGUAGCGGUGAAAUGCUUAGAUAUCAGAUAGAACACCGAUUGCGAAGGCAGGUGACCAAGCUAUAACUGACGCUGAUGCACGAAAGUGUGGGUAGCAAACAGGAUUAGAUACCCUAGUAGUC
rnacentral:rRNA from 1 species